UGUAACUCAGAUAUGAAUAAAGAGGAACGAAGACAGUCUUUUAUGAGUACAUAAACAUUUGUGCAAUGUGCUCUCUGUUUUGCUGGCUUUUAAGAGUCUUUCCUUGCUUAUUUGUAAGAGACUUAUUUCUAAGUCAAUAUGUUCCAGAGAGCUACAUUUAAAGAUAAAUGGCAUACAUACUAGUGACGGAUAAGUGCACUUGAUAAAUACUAUGCCACCCUUGGGUCCUUUCUUUCCCUCACACCCUACAUAUACUUUACCAGUAAAUUCUUGAAAAAUAUCCAGAAUGCAAUCAAUCAUAUUUCGCUGCUUCUACUGCUACUACUCUAGUCCAAACCAUCUCUCAGCUGAAUCAUUGCAAUCUCUUCUAACCCAUCUCUGUACUUCCUCCUAUUUCCUUCAGUCCAUCGAAUGUGGCCAGAAUGGUCAGGCCAGGCACGUGGCUCAUACCUGUAAUGCUAGCACUUCGGGAAGUCAAGGCAGUCAGAUUGCCUGAGGUCAGGAGUUGGAGACCAGCCUGGCCAAUGUUGCAAAACCCCUUCUUUACUAGAAAUACAAAAAAAUUAGCUGGGUAUGGCGGUACAGUGCCUGUAAUUCCAGCUACUCAAGAGGCUGAGGCAGGAGAAUCACUUGAACCAGGAGGUGGAGGUUGCAGUGAGCCAAGAUCACAUCACCCAUUCCAGCCUGGGCAACAGGGCAAGACUCCGUCUCAAAAAAAAAAAUUAAAAGUCCCUCCCCGACAUGUGGGGAUUAAGGGAACAAUUCAAGAUGAGAUUUGGGUGAGGACACAGCCAAACCGUAUCAGGCAGCUUCAAAAGUUGGCCUUCCAUUCUAAGAGGAGACAGCUGUGAAGUUGGACACGCUCUCUGGUACCAGGUGUGCCUUUUAAGUUUCUCCUAGUUUUAGGUUGUUCAUGAAACUAGAAAUGUCAUCCCUGCUUGAUUUUUCAUCAGCAGAGUUAAACCCCUGCUUUCUGUCCUUUGCACCUUUUGCAUGAACAGAAUAUGCAUUAUUAAAGCAAAAAUAAAUAAAAGUAAAAUGCAAAUGAAAAAAAAGCC
rnacentral:lncRNA from 13 species